ACUUUCCUCGUAAUGGCUUCCUUGUCAUCGCAACUCUUGAAACACUUUGAAGAUCAUCUUAGGCACCAACUUACUUUAACUGACAUUGAAGAAGGCAUCUGACUGCAGGCGGUUUCAGAAAGAGAUACCGGUAGCUGGAGAUUAUUGACAAAGGCCUUGGGAAACACAAAAGAAAUUAGCUGGAGAUUAUUGACAAAGGCCUUGGGAAACACAAAAGAAAUUCCACUGCCAAGGACAGACGUAAAAAAGAGAAUCUAAAUCGACCACCGGCAUAUAAUGGUUAUGUUUGGGUUAGUACACUUGCUGUUGAUUAAAUGUUACGUCCCCUACAUUAAUUUGUCUAACAUUGUGUGUUAUCCUUCUUUUAGAUUUAUUGUAUGAAGAGUUAUGCCCAUACAUUCGGGACACAUUAUGGAAGCCAAGAUGGCUGAAUAAAGAAUCUAGUUUACAUGUUUACUUUU
rnacentral:sRNA from 1 species